AGGUCAUUUCAAAGAGAGCUUUUUGGACUUAAACCAGGAACUCUUAAUAGUGUGACUAAAGAUCAGCAGCUGCCCUGUAAAUUUAUUUUUUUCCAAUAAAAUGGUUUGACAAAACAGUGAAAAA
rnacentral:snoRNA from 1 species